GGCGGCGUAGCUCAGGGGUAGAGCAUGGGAUUCAUAAGCCCGUGGUCAGUGGUUCAAAUCCACUCGCCGCUA
rnacentral:tRNA from 1 species